AUUGAACGCUGGCGGCAUGCUUUACACAUGCCAGUCGAGCGGCAGCGCGGGGGCAACCCUGGCGGCGAGCGGCGAACGGGUGAGUAAUGCAUCGGAACGUAUCCUCGAGUGGGGGAUAACCCAGCGAAAGUUGGGCUAAUACCGCAUGAGCUCUGAGGAGGAAAGCGGGGGACCUGCGGGGGCCUCGCGCUGGAGGAGCGGCCGAUGUCCGAUUAGCUAGUUGGUGGGGUAAAGGCUUACCAAGGCGACGAUCGGUAGCUGGUCUGAGAGGAUGAUCAGCCACACUGGGACUGAGACACGGCCCAGACUCCUACGGGAGGCAGCAGUGGGGAAUUUUGGACAAUGGGGGCAACCCUGAUCCAGCCAUGCCGCGUGAGUGAAGAAGGCCUUCGGGCUGUAAAGCUCUUUCGGACGGAACGAAAUGGGCGGGACUAAUACUCCUGUCUGAUGACGGUACCGUAAGAAGAAGCACCGGCUAACUACGUG
rnacentral:rRNA from 1 species